AAAGUUUUAGUAUAAGAUUUUAAGUAUAGUUUAUUGUCAAUAAACAGGUUAAAAACUUUA
rnacentral:tRNA from 1 species